rnacentral:rRNA from 1 species
UCGAAACAAAGUAAAUAUACCUGAAGGUAUAUUUAGA